rnacentral:rRNA from 1 species
UCAGUCGAUCCACGGGGAGGCAGCAGUGGGGAAUAUUGCACAAUGGGGGAAACCCUGAUGCAGCCAUGCCGCGUGUGUGAAGAAGGCCUUCGGGUUGUAAAGCACUUUCAGUAGGGAGGAAGGUAGUGUAGUUAACACCUGCAUUAUUUGACGUUACCUACAGAAGAAGCACCGGCUAACUCCGUGCCAGCAGCCGCGGUAAUACGGAGGGUGCGAGCGUUAAUCGGAAUUACUGGGCGUAAAGCGCAUGCAGGCGGCCUGUUAAGUCAGAUGUGAAAGACCCGGGGCUUAACCUCGGAAUUGCAUUUGAAACUGGCAGGCUAGAGUCUUGUAGAGGGGGGUAGGAAUUUCAGGUGUAGCGGUGAAAUAGCGUAGAGAUCUGAAGGAAUACCAGUGGCGAAGGCGGCCCCCUCGGACAAAGACUGACGCUCAGAUGCGAAAGCGUGGGGAGCAAACAGGAUUAGAUACCCUGGUAG